rnacentral:rRNA from 1 species
CGAAAGCCUGACGGAGCAAUACCGCGUGAGGGAGGAAGGCUCUUGGGUUGUAAACCUCUUUUCUCAGGGAAGAACAAAAUGACGGUACCUGAGGAAUCAGCAUCGGCUAACUCCGUGCCAGCAGCCGCGGUAAUACGGAGGAUGCAAGCGUUAUCCGGAAUGAUUGGGCGUAAAGCGUCCGCAGGUGGCAUUGAAAGUCUGCUGUCAAAGAGUCUGGCUCAACCAGAUAAAGGCAGUGGAAACUACAAAGCUAGAGUACGUUCGGGGCAGAGGGAAUUCCUGGUGUAGCGGUGAAAUGCGUAGAGAUCAGGAAGAACACCGGUGGCGAAAGCGCUCUGCUAGGCCGUAACUGACACUGUGGGACGAAAGCUAGGGGAGCGAAUGGGAUUAGAUACCCCAGUAGUCCUAGCCGUAAACGAUGGAUACUAGGUGUUGCUUGUAUCGACCCGAGCAGUACCGUAGCUAACGCGUUAAGUAUCCCGCCUGGGGAGUACGCAGGCAACUGUGAAACUCAAAGGAAUUGACGGGGGCCCGCACAAGCGGUGGAGUAUGUGGUUUAAUUCGAUGCAACGCGAAGAACCUUACCAGGGCUUGACAUGUCGCGAAUCCUUGUGAAAGCAGGGAGUGCCUUCGGGAGCGCGAACACAGGUGGUGCAUGGCUGUCGUCAGCUCGUGUCGUGAGAUGUUGGGUUAAGUCCCGCAACGAGCGCAACCCUCGUUUUUAGUUGCCAUCAUUAAGUUGGGCACUCUAGAGAGACUGCCGGUGACAAACCGGAGGAAGGUGGGGAUGACGUCAAGUCAGCAUGCCCCUUACGUCCUGGGCUACACACGUACUACAAUGCUACGAACAGAGGGCAGCUAACCAGCGAUGGCAAGCUAAUCCCGGAAAUCGUAGCUCAGUUCAGAUCGCAGGCUGCAACUCGCCUGCGUGAAGUUGGGAUCGCUAGUAAUUGCAGGUCAGCAUACUGCAGUGAAUUCGUUCCCGGGCCUUGUACACACCGCCCGUCACACCAUGGAAGCUGGUAGUGCCCGAAGUCAUUACCCCAACCUUAGGGAGGGGGAUGCCUAAGGCAGGACUGGUGACUGGGGUGAA